rnacentral:rRNA from 1 species
GAUGAACGCUGGCGGCGUGCCUAAUACAUGCAAGUCGAGCGAACAGACGAGGAGCUUGCUCCUCUGACGUUAGCGGCGGACGGGUGAGUAACACGUGGAUAACCUACCUAUAAGACUGGGAUAACUUCGGGAAACCGGAGCUAAUACCGGAUAAUAUAUUGAACCGCAUGGUUCAAUAGUUAAUGACGGCUUUGCUGUCACUUAUAGAUGGAUCCGCGCCGCAUUAGCUAGUUGGUAAGGUAACGGCUUACCAAGGCAACGAUGCGUAGCCGACCUGAGAGGGUGAUCGGCCACACUGGAACUGAGACACGGUCCAGACUCCUACGGGAGGCAGCAGUAGGGAAUCUUCCGCAAUGGGCGAAAGCUUGACGGAGCAACGCCGCGUGAGUGAUGAAGGUCUUCGGAUCGUAAAACUCUGUUAUUAGGGAAGAACAAAUGUGUAAGUAACUAUGCACGUCUUGACGGUACCUAAUCAGAAAGCAACGGCUAACUACGUG